GCACAGCUGGUUCAGGCUCAGGCCCUGUGGCUUGAGCGCGUGCGCGAGGGCGCCGCCAGCCCGCAGCCCGCAGCCCGCAGCCCGCAGCGGCGUGUAAGGCGGGACAGACAGGGCGUCGUCCAGGCCCGGGUGCGGAGAGCCCGCGUUGGGCGGGCCAAAAGGUGGGCGUGUCAGGAGUGGGAUUCGAACCCACGCCUCCAGGGGAGACUGCGACCUGAACGCAGCGCCUUAGACCGCUCGGCCAUCCUGACGGCGGGCCUGGGCGCGCCGCCGCUCGCCUGGCUGGGACCCGGCGCCGACCCCGGAGCUGGCUGGCGGCCGUGUGGGUGCGCGACGGACGGACGGACGGACGGACGGACGGGACUCGCGUCCCGGUCGACGAGGCCAACGGCCCGCCGACGGACUCUGCUGGCGCCGCCGCCCUCGCCGCGGUCCUCGCCGCCGCCCCCUCCCCCUUCCCGGGGCGCGCACCCUGCUGCCGGCGUCCGGCCCCCCGCCGCCCCCGCCGCCCGCCGCGGCCCAUCCCCGGCGCGGGGCCUCCGGCUCGCUCGCGCAGCCCUGCUUGCCGUGUCGGGCGUCUUCUCCCGCCGCCAUCCCCGCGCGGCUGGGCGGGGGCGGGGGCGGCGGCGGGUCCGGGGGCGCGACGCUCCGAGUCGGGCCGGGGGACUGCUGUGCGCGCUGACGCGGCGGCCGGGGGGUCGGGCCGGGUGGGCCGUGGCCCGGGGCACGUGGCGGGCGCCUGGCAGGACGGGCGCGCGGGACGUCGAGGGCCCGGGUGGGCGUGGGCAGGCAGGCAGGCCGGCGGGCGGGCGGGCGGGCGGAGAGGGGUCGGGCGCCCGGGCGGCCGCCGCCGCCGUCCUCGUUAGUAUAGUGGUGAGUAUCCCCGCCUGUCACGCGGGAGACCGGGGUUCGAUUCCCCGACGGGGAGGCGAGACACGCCCUCUUUUGGUCGCGGGCGCCGCCGCCGCGCUGCCCAAACGUACGCCGGCCCCCAGGGCCCUCCUUCUCCUCCUUCUCCUCCUUCUCCUCCUUGUCCUCCUUCUCCUCCCUCGUGCCUCCGCCCGGCCCCGUGCGGCCAGAGGCGCGGGGCGACCGCGGGGGCCCGUCCUGCCCGCCGUCGACCCGACCCCCCGCACCCCCUGCCCUUCCUCGUCGGCCCUGGCGCCCUGGCGCCCUGGCGCGUGCGGGCUCGGCCCAGCCCAGCCGGGACCUCCUGACGGGAGGCUGGCCGCCACGGGCUCCUCGCUCACGCGACGGACAGCUGCCCGGCUGCCGGGCUGCCCGUGGAGGUGGCCGUGGGGGCCGGGCCGACUGUGCGGGCGGGGCGGGGCGGGGCGGGGCGGGGCGGGGCGCGGGUGGCGGGAGGGAAGGGAAGGGAAGGGAAGCGCGCGCCGGGGGCAGGGGGCAAGGGGCGGGGCUCCCCGGCGGGCAGCCGAGGGCCCGGGAGCCGCAGGGCGGCGAGAGCGCCCCCCAGAGGCGGGCGGCGGAGGCGGCGGGCGGUCGUGCCUGCGGAGCAGCCAGGGCUGCGUGGGGGUGGCGCGGGUGGGGCGCCGGGCGGCCGCUGGUGGCGCCCGCGACGGCGCAGAGCUGCGGCCGGCCGGCACGUCGGGGCAGGGCUGCGGCAGGCGGCGGAGGCGGUGGCGAGAGGGCGAGGAGGCGCUGGUGCGGAGCCUGGGCCGGCGUCCGGGGGCGGCCCGGGCUGUGCAGCGUUGGUGGUAUAGUGGUGAGCAUAGCUGCCUUCCAAGCAGUUGACCCGGGUUCGAUUCCCGGCCAACGCAGCUGGCCAACGUUUUGCGCGGCUCCAGGGCCCCGGUGCUCAGGCCCGAUGGGAGCCGGGAGCCGGGCGCGACGCUGAGUGCGUGCGUGUGUGUGUGUGUGUGUGUGUGUGAGAGAGAGAGAGAGAGAGAGGAGGAGGAGGAGGCGCGCAGCGUUUUGACGGCGCGGCGGGCGGGCGGUCCGGCCAGGUGGCUCGGCGGGGCCGGCGGGCGGCUGCGCGUGGCCCGGCGGGGGCCCUGGAGGCCAAGCAGAGGCGAGUGGGCGGUAGGGAGGGAGGCGCCGGGUCCAGGGCGCACGGGCCAGGUGCGCAGCCUGACGCUCCCUGGUGGUCUAGUGGUUAGGAUUCGGCGCUCUCACCGCCGCGGCCCGGGUUCGAUUCCCGGUCAGGGAAGCCUUUCUUCUUCCUCUCGCAAGACCGCCGCCGCACACCCCUUUUAGCCGAAGCUCGCUCGUGCGUCUCCCUGGCCCCGAGCUGACCGAGGCUGCGCGUGCGCACGAGGCCACCCGCCCCGUCGAGCCCAAGGCUGGCUUGCCUGGCGGGCUCCGUCGGGCCGGCCCAAGCCUUUUGGCCUCGCUGGCUGGCUGGCCGGCAGGUGGGCCGACUGGAGGUCUCGGCGUCUCGCGGCCGCCUCCCCCGGACGCUCGCCUGGCUCCCCGUCUCGCUCCGCCCCAGGCCCGACAGUCCGGGACGCCGUCCGACCCCAGCCGAGGCCACCGACAGGCCGGGCGCCUCGGGCCUCCGUGGGUGCUUGGACUCUCCCGCAGCACCCCUGCCGCCGGGAGAAAGGUCGUGGCGGCUCGCAGCACCCCCACCCCCCGGCCCCCCGCUGGCUCCUUGGUGAGGUGCUACUUGGCGGCGGCCGCGCUGGGGGCAUGUGGGGGCGGCGGGCCGAGGCAGAGGGGGCCGGGUGUGGGGAGGGUGAGCCACCUGUCUCUCUCUGAGUCGGGGGUCACUUGCUGGAGCCCCCGGUGCCUU
rnacentral:lncRNA from 12 species